CCUACGGGUGGCAGCAGUGAGGAAUAUUGGUCAAUGGACGGAAGUCUGAACCAGCCAUGCCGCGUGCAGGAAGACGGCUCUAUGAGUUGUAAACUGCUUUUGUACAAGGGUAAACCUGAAUACGUGUAUUCAGCUAAAAGUACUGUACGAAUAAGGAUCGGCUAACUCCGUGCCAGCAGCCGCGGUAAUACGGAGGAUCCAAGCGUUAUCCGGAUUUAUUGGGUUUAAAGGGUGCGUAGGCGGAUUGAUAAGUUAGAGGUGAAAUGUCCGAGCUUAACUCGGGAACUGCCUCUAAUACUGUUGAUCUAGAGAGUAGAUGCGGUAGGCGGAAUGCGCAGUGUAGCGGUGAAAUGCUUAGAUAUUGCGCAGAACUCCGAUUGCGAAGGCAGCAUACCGGCGGCGAUCUGACGCUGAGGCACGAAAGCGUGGGUAUCGAACAGGAUUAGAUACCCCUGUAGUC
rnacentral:rRNA from 1 species